UACGGAGGGUGCAAGCGUUAUCCGGAUUCACUGGGUUUAAAGGGUGCGUAGGCGGGUAUUUAAGUCAGUGGUGAAAUCCUAGAGCUUAACUCUAGAACUGCCAUUGAUACUAUUUAUCUCGAAUAUUGUGGAGGUAAGCGGAAUAUGUCAUGUAGCGGUGAAAUGCUUAGAUAUGACAUAGAACACCUAUUGCGAAGGCAGCUUACUACGCAUAUAUUGACGCUGAGGCACGAAAGCGUGGGGAUCAAACAGGAUUAGAUACCCUGGUAGUCCACGCCCUAAACGAUGGAUACUCGACAUACGCGAUACACUGUGUGUGUCUGAGCGAAAGCAUUAAGUAUCCCACCUGGGAAGUACGACCGCAAGGUUGAUACUCAAAGG
rnacentral:rRNA from 1 species